rnacentral:rRNA from 1 species
UACAGAGGGGCAAGCGUUGUUCGGAAUUACUGGGCGUAAAGGGCGCGUAGGCGGCCUGCUAAGUCGAACGUGAAAUCCCUGGGCUCAACCCAGGAACUGCGUCCGAUACUGGUUGGCUUGAAUCCGGGAGAGGGAUGUGGAAUUCCAGGUGUAGCGGUGGAAAUGCGUAGAUAUCUGGAGGAACACCGGUGGCGAAGGCGACAUCCUGGACCGGCAUUGACGCUGAGGCGCGGAAAGCCAGGGAGC